CAAAAUGAAGAUGAGUCAAACAUUUUUCGCUGUGUUCGCUUUUUUAGUUCUUGCAUCAGGUAUCUUCUUGCUAAACUAAUUUUUCUUGUUUUUUAUUCCAACAUGUAAAUAAUAAUUGUCAGGUAAGAAUUUAAAAAUGAUGAUACAUGAGAAAAAAGAAGUUUUUCUACCGUUUCUUAUGCUAGGUUUGUUAUCCAAAAAGGUGGCAAGUCUUUCCUAUUAAUUAAUCAAAUGAAAAUGGAUUUGACUAAGGCCAUAUUAACUGUGUUGAAGUCAAAUAUUAUUUACACAUUUUAACUUUAAUAACAAGUUAUUUUGGGUAUGUGCAGUUGAAGGUAUUGAAACAGGGAUUUGUGAACGAUUUGUCCUAGGGGUUAUUUGUCCACCAGAAGAAGAUUCAAGGAUAUGCCUAACGGAGUGCACUAAUAUAUCCAAAGGUCAUAAACCCAUUAAUCAUCCUUGUUUACAAGGCAAAGAUUCAUCUUUCUGCUUUUGUCAGUGGCUAUCAGAUUUAUGUUAAUGGAGAUCUUCUACAUCCAUCAAACGUUCAUUAUUCUCGAUCAACACUUACACCAAUCAAUUCUAGAAGAAAUCUUUGAUUGUAAUAAGAGAUAUAUAACAGUUGUACUUACUGAUUCUUCAUCAAGUUUUGUUUAGUAUAAGAA
rnacentral:lncRNA from 1 species